rnacentral:rRNA from 1 species
GUGAGGAAUUUUCCGCAAUGGGCGAAAGCCUGACGGAGCAAUGCCGCGUGAAGGAUGAAGGCCUAUGGGUUGUAAACUUCUUUUCUCAGAAAAGAAUUAUGACGGUAUCUGAGGAAUAAGCAUCGGCUAACUCUGUGCCAGCAGCCGCGGUAAGACAGAGGAUGCAAGCGUUAUCCGGAAUGAUUGGGCGUAAAGCGUCUGUAGGUUGUUUAAAAAGUAUUCUGUCAAAGAUUAGGGCUUAACCCUAGAUAGGCAGAAUAAACUUUUAAGCUAGAGUUUGGUAGAGGCAGAGGGAAUUCCCGGUGGAGCGGUGAAAUGCGUAGAUAUCGGGAGGAACACCAAAGGCGAAGGCACUCUGCUGGGCCAAUACUAACACUGAGAGACGAAAGCGAGGGGAGCAAAUGGGAUUAGAUACCCUGGUAGUC